GAGAGCCCAGGGAGCAAAUCCGGGUCCUCAUGGAUGGUAGUUGGAUUCAUUUCUGCUGGGCCACGAAGGGAACUCUGUGAAUUUCUGAAUAAUUUUGGAACAAGGGGCUCACGUUUUUAUUUUGCAAAUUACAGAGCCAGUCCUGCCCAGAUCUGACUUACUCCGAAGCCGGCACGCUUAACUCCUGCCAUCCGUGUAUCACACAGCUGGUCCAGAUUGGUUUUCCAGUUCAUCGGUACAGUAUUUAAUUGUUUGUUGCCUCCCAUUAGACGGGAGGUAGGGCAGUUGCCGGGGGCAGGGGGUGAUUCAUGCAUUGCCGUAUCCCCAGGGCCUGGCAGAUAUUAGCUGCUCACUUAAAAGUUGUGAAACAAAGAAUGAAUGGGAGGCGGCUGUAGCUCCCAAACUAAAGCAGGUCAUCCGUGGCAGCCACCCCCAGCUGGCUUCUGGACAGUUCCCUGAAGGGUAUGGAGACAAAGGUCUCCCCACCCCUGCGAACCUGCGCGCUGAUAUCUUGUAGCAGAUUACUGUUUAAACAGGUUCUGGUGGAGCCCGUAGCAGCAACCCAAGUGUUUAAAGACACACAGGCCUGGAUUCCUGAGCUCCUGUUAUUGGGGACGAUGCCAAGCGCGGCCCAAAGAACAGCCAGGUUUUUCAGCUUUAGUUCUGCGCAGGUUCAAGUCCCAGCCAAGGAUCAGGGGGCAGAGUUUCCCAGACAGCUCAACAAGAGGGUUUGGAUUUGGGGACUAAAGAUCCUUUUGCCUCCGAAAUGAGAAUUUAGCUCCACCCUCCCAGUUCCCCCAUUUGCUCCUCAAAAAACUUACUUAGCUUUCCUGAGAAGCAGAGAAUCAUCUCAAAAGCCUUUAAGAUGCUCGCACCAAUAAUAACCGUGUGUUUUGCCACCUGUUUUCACAGGCUUGAUCUCCGGUCGCUUCAGAGAAUAAUCAUGUGAAAUAGGAGUUAACCAUCCUCAUUUUCUAAAUAACAUCAUAACCAUCACCCUAUACUGAGUGUUUUAUAAGAGCUAAGCCCUCCACACGGAUGAAGUCAUUUUUGUUGCACAAGCAACACAGAAGGGAGGCAGUGUUACUGUGUCUGGCUUUGCCACGAGGAAACAAGCUGAGAGAGAGGAAUGGACUUGUCCAAGCCCACACACCCAGCGUGUGAGGAGCCUGGAUCUUCCAUCUCAGAGGUCAGUGAACGUUUUCUGAAAAGGGUCAGAUCCUCAAUAGUUUAGGCUUUGCAGGCCAUCCUGUCCCUAUCACAGCUACUCUGCUGUAACAAGAAGCCAGCCGGCAACAAUCAGCAAAAUGAAUGGAGGCAGCUAUGUGUUCCACGAAAACUUUAGUUGCAAAGUCAGGCAGCAGGCUGCUUUGGGCCCACAUGCUCUUCCUUUGCCUACCCUGGUCCAGACCCUCAAACCUGCCUCUCAGUUAGAACGAACUUGGCCCUGCCCUCGUUCUUCCGCAGCCUCUCCCACCCUCUGUGAAGUGACUUGAGUUGUGUUUCAAGAACAGAGACCAGGAGUUCCCACUGUGGCUCCGUGGAUUAAGAACUGACUCGUAUCCAUGAGGCUGUAGGCUCGCUCCCUGACCCCAUUCAGUGGGUUAAGGAUCUGGCAUUGCCGUGAGCGGUGGUGUAGGUCUCAGAUGCGGCUUGGAUUCCUGUUGCUUGCGGCUGUGGUGUCGGCCAGAGCUGCAGCUCUGAUUCGAUCCCUAGCCUGGGAACCUCCAUAUGCUGCAGGUGUGGCCCU
rnacentral:lncRNA from 1 species